rnacentral:rRNA from 1 species
GACGAACCGUGCGAACGUUGUUCGGAUUCACUGGGCUUAAAGGGUGCGUAGGCGGGCGGUCAAGUCGGGGGUGAAAUCUUUCCGCUUAACGGGAAGCGUGCCUCCGAUACUGAUCGCCUCGAGGGAGGUAGGGGCAUGUGGAACUUCCGGUGGAGCGGUGAAAUGCGUAGAUAUCGGAAGGAACGCCGGUGGCGAAAGCGACGUGCUGGACCUCUUCUGACGCUGAGGCGCGAAAGCUAGGGGAGCAAACGGG